rfam:Anaeromyxobacter sp. Fw109-5, complete genome.
GACCCCAUCGUCUAGAGGCCCAGGACUCGGCCCUUUCAAGGCCGCAACCGGGGUUCGAAUCCCCGUGGGGUCA